AAUGGCAAAUACACACAGUGAACACCAAUUGUUCUUCUGGAUAUAGCUGCUGACAAAGCUGGCAGAGCAAUUCUAUCUUUCCUAAGUUUGGAAGCUAUGAGAAGGUACCACCCUUUCAUUCCUUGCAGCUCUCAUAGAUCUAGACAGGCCAUAAUAAUUUGCUUAACCAUAGGGAGAGCUAUACCAGUGCUUUCACAAAGCUAGAGGCUUUCUUGCCCUGAAGACUGGCUUCAGCACUGUAGGUUCACGCAACCUAAUCCUCCAGCUGCUGUGCUGAGGAUCUGUGAAGACACUGAAGACUCUGGACAGGUAAUUCCUGAGAUUCAUAAAAUGGUAUGAUGGCAUAAACUACAUUGGAAUGAACAAGGUGGGAUCACAAAGAGAAAAGAAAAAGACUAAGAAGAAAACAUUGACAAUCCAAGAUUCAAAAGUAGAAUUGUCUUGAAAUAAACAAGAUGAAGACUUCAGAUUCUGUCAGUCUGAAAAUGUCAUUGGGCACAAUGUGAGGAGAAAUCAAGAUACAUUGUGGUAAAACAGACAGCACACCUCACUUU